rnacentral:other from 1 species
AUUCCCCUGCGGUGCGCGUUUGAGGCCUUAGAUUCUCUGAACCAACAUUAGCAAUCUGGUUGCCAACUCAAGUAGCACCGGUGAGCGCAUCCAACACGGAAGCGCCUGAAGGGCUCGGAAGGCGACCACCUUGAACCUAAGGUUCAAGAUGUAGGCGCGACGGCACAGGCGGGGGUCCC